rnacentral:rRNA from 1 species
UACGUAGGGUGCAAGCGUUAAUCGGAAUUACUGGGCGUAAAGCGUGCGCAGGCGGUUUUGUAAGUCUGUCGUGAAAGCCCCGGGCUCAACCUGGGAAUUGCGAUGAAGACUGCAAGGCUAGAAUCUGGCAGAGGGGGGUAGAAUUCCACGUGUAGCAGUGAAAUGCGUAGAGAUGUGGAGGAACACCGAUGGCGAAGGCAGCCCCUUGGGUCAAGAUUGACGCUCAUGCACGAAAGCGUGGGGAGCAAACAGG